rnacentral:rRNA from 1 species
UGGGGAAUCUUGGACAAUGGGCGCAAGCCUGAUCCAGCCAUGCCGCGUGGAUGAUGAAGGCCUUAGGGUUGUAAAAUCCUUUCGCCGAGGACGAUAAUGACGGUACUCGGAGAAGAAGCUCCGGCUAACUUCGUGCCAGCAGCCGCGGUAAUACGAAGGGGGCUAGCGUUGUUCGGAUUUACUGGGCGUAAAGCGCGUGUAGGCGGGUCGUUAAGUUGGGGGUGAAAUCCCGAGGCUCAACCUCGGAACUGCCUUCAAAACUGGCGACCUGGACCUAAGUAGAGGCAAGUGGAAUUGCGAGUGUAGAGGUGAAAUUCGUAGAUAUUCGCAGGAACACCAGUGGCGAAGGCGACCACCUGGACUGAUACUGACACUGAGGUGCGAAAGCGUGGGGAGCAAACAGGAUUAGAUACCCUAGUAGUCCCUGAGCGGGCUGGCAAGGCGCAU